GGAGAGAUGGCUCAGUGGUUAAGAGCACUGACUGCUCUUCCAGAGGUCCUGAGUUCAGUUCCCAGCCCCCACA
rnacentral:tRNA from 1 species